AGCAGCCGCGGUAAUUCCAGCUCCAAUAGCGUAUAUUAAAGUUGUUGCAGUUAAAAAGCUCGUAGUUGAAUUUCGGGAUUGACGUGACGGUCGUGCCUUAAGGGGUAUGAACUGUCGCCGUUGAUUUCUCACCUUCUGGAGAAGCUCGAUGUCCUUAAUUGGAUGUCUUGUGGAACCAGGACCUUUACCUUGAAAAAAUUAGAGUGUUUAAAGCAGGCAUUUUGCUCGAAUACAUUAGCAUGGAAUAAUAGAAUAGGACGGCAUGGUUCUAUUUUGUUGGUUUCUAGGAUCACCGUAAUGAUUAAUAGGGAUAGUUGGGGGCAUUAGUAUUCAAUUGUCAGAGGUGAAAUUCUUGGAUUUAUUGAAGACUAACUACUGCGAAAGCAUUUGCCAAGGAUGUUUUCAUUAAUCAAGAACGAAAGUUAGGGGAUCGAAGACGAUC
rnacentral:rRNA from 1 species